AGGAAGAGGAGAGAGGCAAAUAGAGACAGACAGAUUGACACGCAUUCAGGCAAUGAAAGACAGACAGACAGGUUUUGUUGGCUGAACGGAUCUUCGCAGUAAAAGCGCUCGGUUUCUUAGGCAUCUACUUGCAAACUACCAGCUGAUUUGAAUUCCAGUCAAGGCCUAUGGUGCCCGCGAUAACAGCUAUCUAAGCCCAGUGGGAUGCCAAAUGUAGUUUAUCUCUCGCGAAGAUCCCGCAAGGCAAAUCAGUUAUUUGGACGGUUAAUUAGUGCCAUACACGCGAUCACGCUCACGCGCGCGCGUACACACACACACACACACACACACACACACACACACACACACACACACACACACACACACACACACACACACACACACACACACACACAUACACACGUGGUAGUGUCAUAUCAGUUGCCAAAUAGCUUAUUUGUAUUUAUUCGUCGUACCAAGGGGUGUGAAACUGCGGCCCCGCAGUCGAUACAGACUGCUGAUAGAAGAGGUUAGAAGGCUGCGAGGUCUGCGAGGGAACUCCUGCAGCAGGAGCAGCAGCGGGAGGAGAAAGAA
rnacentral:lncRNA from 1 species